rnacentral:rRNA from 1 species
AUUGAACGCUGGCGGCAGGCUUAACACAUGCAAGUCGAGCGAGCGGCGGACGGGUGAGUAAUGCCUGGGAAACUGCCUGAUGGUGGGGGAUAACUACUGGACACGGUAGCUAAUACCGCAUACCAUCAGAUGUGCCCAGAUGGGAUUCGCUAGUAGGUGGGGUAAUGGCUCACCUAGGCGACGAUCCCUAGCUGGUCUGAGAGGAUGACCAGCCACACUGGAACUGAGACACGGUCCAGACUCCUACGGGAGGCAGCAGUGGGGAAUAGUGCACAAGGGGCGCAGGCCUGAUGCAGCCAUGCCGCGUGUGGGAAGAAGGCCUUCGGGUUGUAGAGCACUUUCAGCGAGGAGGCGUUACUCGCAGAAGAAGCACCGGCUAACUCCGUGCCAGCAGCCGCGGUAAUUC